AACCUCCUUCGUGAAGCUCACACCUCCCCCGCCCCGGGAGGGGUUUGCCCGCCACUGUCGCUGAAUGAUUGCAUCAUCGAAAGCAGAAAACCACUUUUGCAUCCUUCGGCCUCUGGCGUGCCUGCCAUGACGUCAUAGCUCUGCGGAGGUGGAAGUUGGGGAGCUUUGAGACCCUGCCCUCUACUCUGGGCCCUUUCCUUUCUACCGGCGCCCUUCGGAACUGGGCUGCUUCUCCCUGGAUGCUCAACGCCAGUACCAUGGAGAUGCCCGAGCCCUGCGCUACUAUAGCCCACCCCCCACUAACGGUCCAGGCCCCAACUUUGACCUCAGAGACGGAUACCCGGAUCGAUACCAGCCCCGGGACGAGGAGGUCCAGGAAAGGCUGGACCACCUGCUGUGCUGGCUCCUGGAACACCGAGGCCGGUUGGAGGGGCUGGCUGGCAGAGGCCAUAGUGACGUGGCGGGGGCACCUGACAAAACUGCUGACGACACCGUAUGAGCGGCAGGAGGGCUGGCAGCUGGCAGCCUCCCGGUUCCAGGGAACACUAUACCUGAGUGAAGUGGAGACACCGAACGCUCGGGCCCAGAGGCUUGCUCGGCCACCGCUCCUCCGGGAGCUUAUGUACAUGGGAUACAAAUUUGAGCAGUACAUGUGUGCAGCCGCCUGGGAAGCCACCCUCUGCUCUUCUCAGGGGAGGUAGACUGCACAGACCCCCAAGCCCCAUCCACACAGCCCCCAACCUGCUAUGUGGAGCUCAAGACCUCCAAGGAGAUGCACAGCCCUGGCCAAUGGAGGAGUUUC
rnacentral:misc_RNA from 1 species